GAUGAACGCUGGCGGCGUGCCUAAUACAUGCAAGUCGAGCGAACAGACGAGGAGCUUGCUCCUCUGACGUUAGCGGCGGACGGGUGAGUAACACGUGGAUAACCUACCUAUAAGACUGGGAUAACUUCGGGAAACCGGAGCUAAUACCGGAUAAUAUAUUGAACCGCAUGGUUCAAUAGUGAAAGACGGUUUUGCUGUCACUUAUAGAUGGAUCCGCGCCGCAUUAGCUAGUUGGUAAGGUAACGGCUUACCAAGGCAACGAUGCGUAGCCGACCUGAGAGGGUGAACGGCCACACUGGAACAGAGACACGGUCCAGACUCCUACGGGAGGCAGCAGUAGGGAAUCUUCCGCAAUGGACGAAAGCCUGACGGAGCAACGCCGCGUGAGUGAUGAAGGUCUUCGGAUCGUAAAACUCUGUUAUUAGGGAAGAACAAAUGUGUAAGUAACUAUGCACGUCUUGACGGUACCUAAUCAGAAAGCCACGGCUAACUACGUG
rnacentral:rRNA from 1 species